rnacentral:misc_RNA from 1 species
UUUCCGUAGGUGAACCUGCGGAAGGAUCAUUAAUGAGUUGUCAUGGGGUUCGAUGCUGGCAGCCAAUUUUUGGAUGCAUGUGCUUGCCCUAACAAUCAUCUUCCAAACACCUGUGCACAUUUUUGAGGGAGUCUUGAGUUGGUUGCCGCUCUUGGGUGAUUUUCUCACAUUCCCUUAAAUCAUUAUACGCUAUUAACAAUGUUGAACGUGGUCUGUGCCGCAAGGCUAUUAAUAUAAUACAACUUUUAACAACGGAUCUCUUGGCUCUC